rnacentral:lncRNA from 1 species
CUCCAGCACAACCUUUUUAGCCAUCCCAACCCUUCGAAAUGUAAGGUCUGACUCACAUACCUCAAUGUGUGAAAAAUGUCAUCAAUGUUCUGUAAGUUAGGGAAUUAGAGGAGUUUGCAUAUCCAAAUCCAUCUGGCCACGUGGCAAACAGUACAUUUUGGCUUUCUUGAAGAUGCUGUAUUCACAGAAGAACACACAAGGCUAUACUGCCAAAUUAUUCCCAAGUUUUUACACAGUAAAAAUAUCGGUCAUGCACUGAUAUAUUUAUUUUGCAAAUGUAGCUGAAUAUCAAAGCCACAUGGGGGCACCAGGCACAGGGGGAAAAAAAAAAAAAGCGGCUCUGUCCUUAAGAUUAGCAGCAUUUCUGAUGGAUCAUUGCUUUGCUAUAAACAAAUCUGAAAUUCCUUGGCACAUCAGUGCAUUUCAUCAUGAUUCUUUCUCCUUCUGUUAAUGGAUGCGAAUUAAUAAGGAAUGCUGAUUACUGCUAAGAUCUAUUUUCAAUGCUUACAUCUUCUAAAAUGGACUAGUUAAUACUGCAAAUGCAGAAGAUCAAGCCAGCUCAGUAUGUCUGUUCUGAAGAAAACCAAUCCAGAGUCCAGUCAUGCUUAUAUGGAGCUGCACCCAAACCAAUAAGCCUGGCUGAGAAACUUCCGUAAGUGACAACAAAAAGGAGUUUCGAAGCACUUCAUAAAUAGUUGUGUCAUCUGACUACCUGCAGCAUACCUCUCGAAGACUGGCGGUUUCAGUGCAACAUUUCAGACAAUGUAACGUGGCGUAGCCUGGGCCAUAUCCCGGUGAGAUCCUCUUUCCAGACAGAUCAGUCGCCGAGUUUAACCGCAUCUUGGCUUCACCAUGCUUUGCUUGCUAUUAGAGGCUGCAUUCUGUAUAAGAAGAGUUACAGUGUUUUGGCCUCCUCUGAAAGAGCUGCUCCUUUUUAUCUGUGGUCAUGCGUAUGAUCUCAUUUGCUGGAAGAACAAGACAUCAAUUGCAAAACUAGGUCUACCUUGGAAAACUGGGCCAUCUGUUAUUUAUUUUUAUUUAUUGACUGGGUAAUCUGGGUCUGAAUAGCAACCAUCUCUUUGCCAUAAAACCUGCUAGGCCCACA